CGCAAGGCCCAGAACAAGCCGCACAGGCAUAAAGCAAGCAUCAGCCAUUAUACAAGGCGGCACCAGAAAUCCUGAGACAAUCCGUGUUGACCAAUGCAACACGCAGUACCACCUGACUGACGGCACAUCCACCAACUGCGGGCAUACACGCAACACAGAAACCGGAAGCACUUGUUUCAGACAUCUGGUCUAUAGCAGCAGCCCAGUCGCCUGUACAAGCUACGCCCGCAUGG